rnacentral:rRNA from 1 species
AGCGGCGGAUGGGUGAGUAACACGUGGGGAACCUGCCCCAUAGUCUAGGAUACCACUUGGAAACAGGUGCUAAUACCGGAUAAUAAAGCAGAUCGUAUAAUCAGCUUAUAAAAGGCGGCGUAAGCUGUCGCUACGAGAUGGCCCCGCGGUGCAUUAGCUAGUUGGUAAGGUAACGGCUUACCAAGGCAAUGAUGCAUAGCCGAGUUGAGGAGACUGAACGGCCACAUUGGGACUGAGACACGGCCCAAACUCCUACGGGAGGCAGCAGUAGGGAAUCUUCCACAAUGGACGCAAGUCUGAUGGAGCAACGCCGCGUGAGUGAAGAAGGUUUUCGGAUCGUAAAGCUCUGUUGUUGGUGAAGAAGGAUAGAGGUAGUAACUGGCCUUUAUUUGACGGUAAUCAACCAGAAAGUCACGGCUAACUACGUGCCAGCAGCCGCGGUAAUACGUAGGUGGCAAGCGUUGUCCGGAUUUAUUGGGCGUAAAGCGAGCGCAGGCGGAAGAAUAAGUCUGAUGUGAAAGCCCUCGGCUUAACCGAGGAAUUGCAUCGGAAACUGUUUUUCUUGAGUGCAGAAGAGGAGAGUGGAACUCCAUGUGUAGCGGUGGAAUGCGUAGAUAUAUGGAAGAACACCAGUGGCGAAGGCGGCUCUCUGGUCUGCAACUGACGCUGAGGCUCGAAAGCAUGGGUAGCGAACAGGAUUAGAUACCCUGGUAGUCCAUGCCGUAAACGAUGAGUGCUAAGUGUUGGGAGGUUUCCGCCUCUCAGUGCUGCAGCUAACGCAUUAAGCACUCCGCCUGGGGAGUACGACCGCAAGGUUGAAACUCAAAGGAAUUGACGGGGGCCCGCACAAGCGGUGGAGCAUGUGGUUUAAUUCGAAGCAACGCGAAGAACCUUACCAGGUCUUGACAUCUAGUGCCAUCCUAAGAGAUUAGGAGUUCCCUUCGGGGACGCUAAGACAGGUGGUGCAUGGCUGUCGUCAGCUCGUGUCGUGAGAUGUUGGGUUAAGUCCCGCAACGAGCGCAACCCUUAUUAUUAGUUGCCAGCAUUAAGUUGGGCACUCUAAUGAGACUGCCGGUGACAAACCGGAGGAAGGUGGGGAUGACGUCAAGUCAUCAUGCCCCUUAUGACCUGGGCUACACACGUGCUACAAUGGGCAGUACAACGAGAAGCGAGCCUGCGAAGGCAAGCGAAUCUCUGAAAGCUGUUCUCAGUUCGGACUGCAGUCUGCAACUCGACUGCACGAAGCUGGAAUCGCUAGUAAUCGCGGAUCAGAACGCCGCGGUGAAUACGUUCCCGGGCCUUGUACACACCGCCCGUCACACCAUGGAAGUCUGCAAUGCCCAAAGCCGGUGGCCUAACCUUCGGGAA